rnacentral:rRNA from 1 species
UACGGAGGAUCCAAGCGUUAUCCGGAUUUAUUGGGUUUAAAGGGUGCGUAGGCGGUUCUUUAAGUCAGUGGUGAAAGUUUGCAGCUCAACUGUAAAAUUGCCAUUGAAACUGAAGAACUUGAGUGUAAAUGAGGUAGGCGGAAUGUGUUGUGUAGCGGUGAAAUGCUUAGAUAUAACACAGAACACCAAUUGCGAAGGCAGCUUACUAGGAUACAACUGACGCUGAGGCACGAAAGCGUGGGGAUCAAACAGG